UUCACGGUUGAUUUCUCAAGUAAUUACUCUUGUGAUCAUCCUAGUUGUUGAAUAUUUAUUUACUUUGAUGGUUCCUCUCUCUUGUAUUGGUUAGUUUUCCUCAAUCUAUCAAGGCUAAAACAUAGUUUGGAAGCCUUAAUUGAUUCAUUCCCUAUUUUGAUACCUCAUCCUUAUAAAACCCUUAUCUAUGAUAACCAUUGUAGUGUGCUUGGAGUUGUGCUUGCUAGACUUCACUCUCUUUCCUUGAGUAACCUCAAACCCUAGCCCUAGGGUUGCUUUGACUCCAUUUUCCCUAACCUAGAUUAGAGUGAGGCACUAGUCUUACCAUAAAUUUGAUUAUUUUCGCAAAACCCAAAGUCUCAUCUUAGAUAACGAUUUAUCUAGGGCGUGCUUCUGGCCUUAAUUGGCUGGGUCGCGGCUUCGGCGCUGUUACUUUGAAAAAAUUAUAGUGCUCAAAGCAAGCUUAUGCUCUGAAUACAUUAGCAUGGAAUAACGUGAUAGGAGUCUGGUCCUAUUGUGUUGGCCUUCGGGACCGGAGUAAUGAUUAAUAGGGACUGUCGGGGGCAUUCGUAUUUCAUUGUCAGAGGUGAAAUUCUUGGAUUUAUGAAAGACGGACCACUGCGAAAGCAUUUGCCAAGGAUGUUUUCAUUAAUCAAGAACGAAAGUUGGGGGCUCGAAGACGAUCAGAUACCGUCCUAGUCUCAACCAUAAACGAUACCGACCAGGGAUCGGCGGAUGUUGCUCUAAGGACUCCGCCAGCACCUUCUGAGAAAUCAGAGUGUUUGGGUUCCGGGGGGAGUAUGGUCGCAAGGCUGAAACUUAAAGGAAUUGACGGAAGGGCACCACCAGGAGUGGAGCCUGCGGCUUAAUUUGACUCAACAUGGGGAAACUUACCAGGUCCAGACAUAGUAAGGAUUGACAGAUUGAGAGCUCUUUCUUGAUUCUAUGGGUGGUGGUGCAUGGCCGUUCUUAGUUGGUGGAGCGAUUUGUCUGGUUAAUUCCGAUAACGAACGAGACCUCAGCCUGCUAACUAGCUACGCGGAGGUUCCCCUUCGCGACCAGCUUCUUAGAGGGACUAUGGCCAUUUAGGCCAUGGAAGUUUGAGGCAAUAACAAUUCUGUGAUGCCCUUAGAUGUUCUGGGCCGCACGCAUGCUACACUGAUGCAGCCAACAAGCUUUUCUUCUUGGUUCGAGAGGAUUGGGAAAUCUUCUCAAAUUGCAUCGUGAUGGGGAUAAACCAUUGCAAUUAUUGGUCUUCAACGAGGAAUUCAUAGUAAGUGUGUGUCAUCAACUCGUGUUGACUACGUCCCUGCCCUUUGUACACACCGCUCGUCACUCCUACCGAUUGAAUGAUCUGGUGAAGUGUUCAGAUUGCGUCGACGAUGGUGGUUCGCCGCCAUCGACGUCAUGAGAAGUUCAUUGAACCUUAUCAUUUAGAGGAAGGAGAAGUCGUAACAAGGUUACCGUAGGUGAACCUACGGUAG
rnacentral:rRNA from 1 species